rnacentral:rRNA from 1 species
ACGCUCGACACCUACGGGGGCAGCAGUGGGGAAUAUUGCACAAUGGGGGAAACCCUGAUGCAGCGACGCCGCGUGAAGGAAGAAGUAUCUCGGUAUGUAAACUUCUAUCAGCAGGGAAGAAAAUGACGGUACCUGACUAAGAAGCCCCGGCUAACUACGUGCCNGCAGCCGCGGUAAUCUGAGCGGGCUGGCAAGGC